AAUCCAACGGCUUUAACCGUUGGCCUGCAGAAGAUACCGCUGGACUAGGAGGCGGGAGAGGUGGACGGUACUCYNNGUGUAGGGGUAAAAUCCUUUGAUCCGUGGAAGACCACCAGUGGCGAAGGCGGUCCACCAGAACGCGCUCGACGGUGAGGGAUGAAAGCUGGGGGAGCGAACCGGAUUAGAUACCCGGGUAGUCCCAGCUGUAAACGAUGCGAGCUAGGUGAYMCAAUSGCNWMUCGCCAUUGKAGUGUCGCAGGGAAGCCGUUAAGCUCGCCGC
rnacentral:rRNA from 1 species